UUUUCUUUUUCCACUUUAAAA
rnacentral:piRNA from 1 species